GCGUCUGUGGUGUAGCGGUAACAUUGGGUCUUCCCAUAAGAAAUAGCAUUAGGCCUUUGACUGGCCUAGCUCCGGGUUCGACUCCCGGCGGACGCA